GAUGAACGCUAGCGGCAGGCUUAACACAUGCAAGUCGAGGGGUAUAGUUCUUCGGAACUAGAGACCGGCGCACGGGUGCGUAACGCGUAUGCAAUCUACCUUUUGCAGAGGGAUAGCCCAGAGAAAUUUGGAUUAAUACCUCAUAGUAUGUGAGAAUGGCAUCAUUUUCACAUUAAAGUCACAACGGCAAAAGAUGAGCAUGCGUCCCAUUAGCUUGUUGGUAAGGUAACGGCUUACCAAGGCAACGAUGGGUAGGGGUCCUGAGAGGGAGAUCCCCCACACUGGUACUGAGACACGGACCAGACUCCUACGGGAGGCAGCAGUGGGGAAUAUUGGACAAUGGGCGAAAGCCUGAUCCAGCAAUGCCGCGUGAGUGAUGAAGGCCUUAGGGUGUAAAGCUCUUUUACCCGGGAUGAUAAUGACAGUACCGGGAGAAUAAGCUCCGGCUAACUCCGUGCCAGCAGCCGCGGUAAU
rnacentral:rRNA from 1 species